rnacentral:rRNA from 1 species
UGGGGAAUUUUGGACAAUGGGCGAAAGCCUGAUCCAGCAAUGCCGCGUGUGUGAAGAAGGCCUUCGGGUUGUAAAGCACUUUUGUCCGGAAAGAAAUGGCUCUGGUUAAUACCUGGGGUCGAUGACGGUACCGGAAGAAUAAGGACCGGCUAACUACGUGCCAGCAGCCGCGGUAAUACGUAGGGUCCAAGCGUUAAUCGGAAUUACUGGGCGUAAAGCGUGCGCAGGCGGUUGUGCAAGACCGAUGUGAAAUCCCCGAGCUUAACUUGGGAAUUGCAUUGGUGACUGCACGACUAGAGUGUGUCAGAGGGGGGUAGAAUUCCACGUGUAGCAGUGAAAUGCGUAGAGAUGUGGAGGAAUACCGAUGGCGAAGGCAGCCCCCUGGUAUAACACUGACGCUCAUGCACGAAAGCGUGGGGAGCAAACAGG